rnacentral:lncRNA from 1 species
CCUUAAUCACAGUCUCGUGAUUCCACCCCCGGUCCUCCUCCGCUUCCUUUGUAGAUGCCAAUUCCUGCUCUAAGGGUUCAGGGACAGACCCCACUCACUUUGCGUAAGUGAGGACACCCCUGGGAUUAUCCCUGCGGUUCUGGUUAAUCUCCUCAAUGUAAGAAAAAACAGAGGAAUGAUACUAUUUUUAUCAAGGCAGAAGUUUAAAGCCAGCAUCACAAUCAUGUAAGGAGAAUUUUCAAAGAAAACUUCCAAAUAGGGCUUAGGAUGCUCGCAGCCCCAGGCCCAGGCCAUCCUAGGAGAAGAAAAGUUUGACUUAGUGGCCAUUGAGCUUUAUUUCUUGUGAACUCUGUCCCCUGUCUGUGGUCUUAUCUGGCACUCUGUCAUCACAGAGUCUCCUUAGUCUGUGAUUUGAGCAUCCUAAGAAGUAUUCACUGAUGAAGUUUAAUCAUCUCUCUGAAUAUUUACCUUUAAAAAAGUCAUCUUUAACACCAACCUGAGUUUAAGAUGGGGGGUAAUGAAGCUAAAAUGUUGGACUGAUAAACCGUGGUUCUGAACAAACUCACUACUAGUAAUUUUGCUGAACUAAUAAGCGAGUGUUUAUCUAGAACCUAACAUACUCUUCCUCCUGUCCUAGUUUCCAAGAGCAACUUGUCAUGUCUGACUUUCCAGGCUUUUGUAAAUGGAGGUUUACUGGCUACAUCAAGAUAAAGAUGAAAUGUAUCUCAAUAGAUGCAUGAUGGAUGACAGUGGGGAUGAUAUA